AGAGUUUGAUCCUGGCUCAGAUUGAACGCUGGCGGUAGGCUUAACACAUGCAAGUCGUGCGAGAAAGUAUCUUCGGAUAUGAGUAGAGCGGCGGACGGGUGAGUAACGCGUAGGAAUCAACCUAGUAGAAGGGGAUAGCCCGAGGAAACUCGGAUUAAUACCGUAUACCUCCUUCGGGAGAAAGAAGGCCUCUCUUUGAAGCUUUCGCUACUAGAUGAGCCUGCGUAAGAUUAGCUUGUUGGUGAGGUAAGGGCUCACCAAGGCUACGAUCUUUAGCGGGUCUGAGAGGACGAUCCGCCACAUUGGGACUGAGACACGGCCCAGACUCCUACGGGAGGCAGCAGUGGGGAAUAUUGGACAAUGGGCGAAAGCCUGAUCCAGCCAUACCGCGUGUGUGAAGAAGGCCCUAGGGUUGUAAAGCACUUUAAGUUGGGAAGAAAAGUUAUUGGUUAAUACCCAAUGACCGUGACAUUACCAUCAGAAUAAGGACCGGCUAAUUCCGUGCCAGCAGCCGCGGUAAUACGGAAGGUCCAAGCGUUAAUCGGAAUUACUGGGCGUAAAGCGCGCGUAGGUGGUUUAUUAAGUUGGGUGUGAAAUCCCCGGGCUCAACCUGGGAACUGCAUCCAAAACUGAUUCACUAGAGUACGAUAGAGGGAGGUAGAAUUCACAGUGUAGCGGUGGAAUGCGUAGAUAUUGUGAAGAAUACCAAUGGCGAAGGCAGCCUCCUGGAUCUGUACUGACACUGAGGUGCGAAAGCGUGGGUAGCGAACAGGAUUAGAUACCCUGGUAGUCCACGCCGUAAACGAUGUCAACUAUCUGUUGGAAAGCAUUGCUUUUCAGUGG
rnacentral:rRNA from 1 species